ACUGCAGUCGAGCGAACGGACGAGAGNCUUGCUUCUCUGAUGUUAGCGGCGGACGGGUGAGUAACACGUGAAUAACCUACCUAUNGNACUGGGAUAACUUCNGGAAACCGGANCUAAUACCGGAUAAUAUUUUGAACCGCAGGGUUCNCAAGUGAAAGACGGUCUUGCUGUCACUUAUNNAUGGAUCCGCGCUGCAUUANCUAGUUGGUAAGGUAACGGCUUACCAAGGCAACGAUGCAUAGCCAACCUGAGAGGGUGAUCGGCCACACUGGAACUGAGACUCGGUCCAGACUCCUACGGGAGGCAUCAUUAAGGAAUCUUCCGCAAUGGGCGAAAGCCUGACGGAGCAGCGCCGCGUGAGUGAUGAAUGUCUUCGGAUCGUAAAACUCUGUUAUUACGGAAGAACAUAUGUGUAAGUAACUGUGCACAUCUUGACAGUACCUAAUCANAAAGCCACGGCUAACUACUG
rnacentral:rRNA from 1 species